CAACUUUAAAAUGGUGCAUUUGAGUUCACAGGAUAAUACCGCACGAGAUGUCCUGAUUUGUUUACAGAUAUUGUACUCUGGUCCAAAGGUGGAGAAAAGGAAUGGUUCACCAACUUUUGUACUGAUAAAUAAGGAUCCCAAAAUCUGAAUCUGAAUUUGAAACAGACCUUUUUAUAAUCCACUACAGAUUUUCAAUGGGGCUCAUGCCACUGGAUACAGUGCUCCUGCAGCCAAGUUCUACUGGCCCUGGAUGUGUGGCAAGGGGCAUUAUCUUGUCACGUGCAGAAGGGAGCAUGUGGGUUUCGAGAAUGGCACAACACUUGUUCAAGUACUUUUGAGUUCAAUGUGCCAUCACAGACAGUGAGAUGACCAACACCAGCAGCACUCAUGCAUCCCCAAACCAUGAUACUGCCUCCACCAUGCUUGACAAGUGUAUCCAACUGCUGAAGGACUGCAUCUGCACUUCCUGGCUAUCUGGAGGCAGCUGUACCCUUCCUGGCUGAGAAUCUGUAUCUUCAGGCAUGUUUCCUGCGUUAGGUUCCUUGUUUUAGCCAUUUUUGUCUCUGAAGAACUUUCAAAUGUGCUGGCUUUAUAUAGACACCAAGCAUGACAACAACAAUUGUGUCUUUUAAUAAAAAGCAUGACCUUCAAUAGUGGAUCACUGGUACUCAAAAUCUAUUAUGUAUUUUUAUGGAACCAAUCAAUUUUAAGUUCUUAAUGGCUUUUUUAGGAUUUGUUUAGUAUUUUGGCUAUGAUUGUACUAAAAGAAAUUGCACUUGAAGAUCUAAGAGUGAUUUUUAAUGCAAUAUUUCACAAAUGCAUGGGUUGUCCAAAAUCUUUUUUCCACCACUGUAUAAAAUAAAUUGAAUAAGACAGAUGAACAACAGUCAUUUAGUAUCUUAAUUUUUAUUGGAAGAAUUCUCUUCACACAGUGGUGGCAUCUUCAUUAUAUGAGCAUGUUGUGACAAGUUUGACAAUGUUAAUUUUGUUUUAAUCCAGAUAUGCUACUGGAUACCAGCUUCAUAAACAUCUUCAGUCCACCAUCACUGGCCACAA